UGCAGUCGAGCGAUCCCUUCGGGGAUAGCGGCGGACGGGUGAGUAACGCGUGGGAACGUGCCCUUUCCUUCGGAAUAGCCCAUGGAAACGUGGAUUAAUGCCGGAUGCGCCCUUUGGGGGAAAGAUUUAUCGGGGAAGGAUCGGCCCGCGUUGGAUUAGGUAGUUGGUGGGGUAAUGGCCUACCAAGCCGACGAUCCAUAGCUGGUUUGAGAGGAUGAUCAGCCACACUGGGACUGAGACACGGCCCAGACUCCUACGGGAGGCAGCAGUGGGGAAUCUUAGACAAUGGGGGAAACCCUGAUCUAGCCAUGCCGCGUGAGCGAUGAAGGCCUUAGGGUUGUAAAGCUCUUUCGCUGGGGAAGAUAAUGACGGUACCCAGUAAAGAAGCCCCGGCUAACUCCGUGCCAGCAGCCGCGGUAAUACGGAGGGGGCUAGCGUUGUUCGGAAUUACUGGGCGUAAAGCGCGCGUAGGCGGGCUGGAAAGUUGGGGGUGAAAUCCCGGGGCUCAACCCCGGAACUGCCCUCAAAACUGACAGUCUGGAGUUCGAGAGAGGUGAGUGGAA
rnacentral:rRNA from 1 species